rnacentral:rRNA from 1 species
UAAUACCCUAUUAUACUAAUUUUAGAAAAAUUUACUUGAGUAGUAAAGAGCUAUGAGCUUGAAAUUCAAAAAAUUUGGCGGUAUUUUAGUCUAGUUAGAGGAACCUGUCUUAUAAACGAUAUGCCACGCAACAUCUUACUUUAUUUAGUUUUAAGUUUGUAUACCGCCAUAAUUUGGUUAUAUUUGUAGAGGUGUUUUCCUUAAUAAAGUUUUUUAGUAAAUUAGGUCAAGGUGCAGCAGAUAAUAAAGAAACGAUGGGUUACAAUAUAUUUUAUAUAUACGAACAAAAAGUUUUAAUUACUUUUUAGAAGGCGGAUUUAAUAGUAAUUUUACUUUAAUAUGGUAAAGUGAUUUUAGCUCUAAAAUAUGCACAACC